rnacentral:lncRNA from 1 species
AUUGGGACUCCGAGUCGCGGCUAUUUCUGGUGUUGGCGCGGCUCCAAGAAGAGCCAGACUCACUCUGUGCUGCCCCACACAUAGAGAAGCAGAAUGAGCGAGUCGGUCUCAAAGUCCAGCCAGCCCCUGGCCUCCAAGCAGGAAAAGGAUGGGACUGAGAAGCGAGGCCGGGGCAGGCCGCGCAAGCAGCCUUCGAAGGAGCCCAGUGAAGUGCCAACCCCGAAGAGACCCCGGGGCCGGCCGAAGGGAAGCAAGAACAAGGGCACAGCCAAGACGCGGAAAGUUACCACAACUCCGGGGAGGAAACCAAGGGGCAGACCCAAGAAACUGGAGAAGGAGGAAGAGGAGGGCAUCUCCCAGGAGUCCUCGGAGGAGGAGCAGUGACCACUUGCAGUGCCGCCUGCUCCUUGGCCACUGAGGAGCGGCCUUCCCCUGGGACUGGAAGCCCUGCUCCCAGGCCCCGCCCCGCCCCCACUGCACACUACCGCACCAGGCACCAGCUGCAGGCUCUGCGGCACCCACGGGAGCAGGAUUUGGCUCAGUCCCUGUGCCCUCCUCCCCAACACACCUGCCCCCUCCUGACAAGGUUAACUUCCCAUCAAGCCGCAGCCCAGCCUGCUGCGUGCCUCCCUCAGAGCCCUCGCUCUUAGCUCUCCGGGCGCUUUGUUUCGCAGGUCCCUCCUGCCCUGCUGCUCCUGGCUUCCCUGUAGAGGGUCCUUGGAGCAUUCCCUGGCCUUAAGGGGCCACAGCCCCAUCUCAUUCCGACAAGCCCCGAUGGCUGACCUGGCGGCAGCAGUGUGGUCAGUGCAGGGGAAGCUUAGGUCCCAGCAUGUAUGUCCCCCAUCAAGCGUCACCGGGUGGGUUUCUCAGUCCCUCCUGCCCCACCCUACUGAGAAUCCUGCACCAGGUUGGCUGAGCCCCUUGGCUGGACAACAGGAAGUAGGAUGGUGUUGGCUCCACCCACUUUGCUGCUCUUCCCUGGGACAAGACAGAUGGGCGCUACCACCCAUCUCGAGUGAGGUCCUGAGCACUUCCACCUAAGGCAGACGGGGCUCCAACAGGCGCCUCCCCCACUACACUCUUCCUCUAGCAGGGCACCAAGGAGCUCGCCUUGCCCCCCCUCUCCUUUUGCUCCUCCCUGCCCCCCAAGGUUCUGGUUCCACCUUUUCCUCUGUUCACAAACUACCUCUGGACAGUUGUGUUGUGUUUUUUGUUCAAUGUUCAUUCUUAGACACCCACCAUUGCUGCUACCAGCGCCAGAUGUCCAUCCUCCCGAUUUUGCCUGUACCCCCCACACAAUACACUCUAGGGGAAGGGGGGGCUGGUGUGCAGCAGCAGGCUGGUUACCGAGUACCCCACGCUAGGGAAGAUGGGGCCCCCGCCCCGUGGAUGCUGCAGCAGAGUGAGGAGGGGGGGCCCACUUGGAUGGGAAAAGGGUAUAGGACCACCUCCCCUUGUUGUGGGGGAGGGGUGGCCAGUAUUUGUCCCAGCCUGGGGCUCCCCCUCUGGUUUCCUAUUUGCAGUUACUUGAAUAAAAAAAAAAUAGCCUUUUCUGGAC